rnacentral:lncRNA from 1 species
AUAUAGUUGAUGUUCAUUAAAUAAAUACUUUUGAUAUAAAAGCAAGUUCUAAACUUAGAGACAAUUAAUUUCUACCUCUGAAUAACCGAUAAAAAUAACACAAUUGAUCAAUCAAAUUUACAAAAAUCUAAAUUGUUCAUAACUCAACAAAAUACGAAAAAUUACUCUCACCCAAUAUCACCUAUUUAGAGCGUGGAUCCCCAAUCGAUAACCUGAAAUAACUGCGCUCUCGCA